AAACCAGCCAACCCUGUAUCACAAAAAGGCUGCAACAUAUGAAAGCCAACCAGGCAGAGCCUACAGGCCUUAAUUCUCAAGGAUCCAAGGCAUCAUUCCAGCAGGACCUGUGACAUCCUUGGCAGUGGAUAAUGGAAGCCUGUCCUCACCACCAGUAUCAGGGGAGAAACAGCAUGAACAAUAACAUCUGCACUUCUUGUUUACAAUAAUUGAUGCUUCAAGGACCAACAUAAAGCACUGCAGAGAAUUCUGUCAGAAAAAAAACCCUACAUG